GUAAAAGACACAGAAAUCAGUAUGGAAUUGAUGACUUGAAACUCAACAUAAAACAAGCCUACCUGUUGUUCUCUCUUUGCUUUGAGGCAACCAGGAGGCCUCUGUGUGAUUCUUUGGGACUGAACAGCAGUGGCACUGGGCGAGAUGGAAACCUCUUUCAACAGGCUUUCUCUGGGAAAUAAGUUCAGAAGUGAACUUAUGUCCAUGGAGAGUUCUCUUUGUGAAACACAAGAUGAAAUGUUAUAGAUUCUCAAAGAUAAAAUGAGACUUGAAGGACAACUGGAGGCUUUGUCAUUAGAAGCCAGUCAGGACUGCCACAGCAGAGUACCACAGACUAGAUGUCUUAAUCAACAGAACUUUACUGACUUCACCUACUUGGAGUCUGGCAACCAGUGUCAAAAUACCGCUGACCUUCGUGUAUUUGAUGGAUGGGAACCACUAUCCACGCAAAAUUCACGGAAGCUUUGAAGUAAACAGUGCUGGUCCAUCAUGUGCAACAUUGCAUAUCCUCUACUGCAGGCCCAAAACUAUGGGGCCAGGGAACCAUGGACUACAAUCCCAGCAACUGUGAGUCAUGAAACUCUUCCUGUGUGAAGGCUUAUUUGUCUUAGCUAUGCGUCAUGAAUUUCUAACAUGAUACAUUAACAACUGCAACACAUUGUGAGUCUGUGUUGGCUAAGGAAAGACAUUAUAUGUAUAGUUCCCAGACCCUUGAGGUAAUAACUUCUUGUUGUGUUGUCUCUGACAGAAGAAGGAAAGAAGUGGAACAACCCAUAGGUCAGUGUUAUCCUCAG